UGUUAUUUCAUCAAGUUGCUACAAGGUUAUCACUCACAACUUGUUGAAUUGCAGGACGAUAACAAGUUGUUGGAACAACUUGUAACAAGUCUGCUGAACUCAACAAUCUUGUAGCAAGUUGUCAACAAGCCGUUGACAACUUGUCAACAAGCUGGGAACAAGCAGUGCGAACACAUCCUGUUGACAAGUUGUUGGAACAGCAUUGCUACAAGUCUGCUGUAGGUUUUUUACAACUUGUGCGUUUUUACGUGUGUAGUCUU